rnacentral:rRNA from 1 species
UACGUAGGGGGCAAGCGUUGUCCGGAUUUAUUGGGCGUAAAGAGCGUGUAGGCGGCCAGGUAGGUCGGUUGUGAAAACUCGAGGCUCAACCUCGAGAUGUCGACCGAAACCAUCUGGCUAGAGUCCGGAAGAGGAGAAUGGAAUUCCCGGUGUAGCGGUGAAAUGCGCAGAUAUCGGGAAGAACACCCGUGGCGAGGGCGGUUCUCUGGGACGGUACUGACGCUGAGACGCGAAAGCGUGGGGAGCGAACAGG